rnacentral:sRNA from 1 species
AUAUUCCGUUCGUACAGUCCGGUUUCGAGCGCGCCGUCCAUCCCUGCCCGACGACUGUUUGCUACGUUUCCGUCAGCC